AUGAUCUAAGAGUUUGAUCCUGGCUCAGGACGAACGCUGGCGGCGUGCCUAAUACAUGCAAGUCGCGCGGCUUGAUUCAGAGCUUGCUCUGAGGAUGGCAGCGGCGGACGGGUGAGUAACACGUGGGCAACCUGCCUGACAGACCGGGAUAACGCCUGGAAACGGGUGCUAAUA
rnacentral:rRNA from 1 species